rnacentral:rRNA from 1 species
AUGUGUGGAACUCACGUGUACCAUGGCCCCAUGGGGAAGAUGUGCGUCAGAUGGGGAGGUGGCCGGCAUGCCUGCGGGGAGGUGGACGGCGCACGGCGGCGAGACCGGGCCACAGGUCUGAGCGCAUCCGUCACCACCGGCAAGCAGCCGAGCUGCUCCCAUGUGACCAUGUCACUCCUGGCCUCUCCUGCUCCAGAUCGAGGCCAUGCUCCUGCGAGCGCAGCGGCGACGACGGGGCCGGUGGAUCUGCAAGCACCAUGGCCAUCUGACCCGCUCGCUACCCCUCUUCUCUUCCCUUCCCUCCCUUCCCUUCUGAAAACGGGAGGGGAGAGGUUGCGGGCGGAGGCUGGCCCGAGGAGACGGGCGCGAGUGGCGGCGGGCUAG